AAAAACUAGUUGUGUUAUGCAUACUUUGUUUUGGUCAAAGAGGUGGUAUAUGUAUUUGAAGCCAGUUUUUA
rnacentral:tRNA from 1 species